UCUCCGUUGGUGAACCAGCGGAGGGAUCAUUACCGAGUUUACAACUCCCAAACCCAAUGUGAACCAUACCAAACUGUUGCCUCGGCGGGGUCACGCCCCGGGUGCGUCGCAGCCCCGGAACCAGGCGCCCGCCGGAGGGACCAACCAAACUCUUUCUGUAGUCUCCUCGCGGACGUUAUUUUUACAGCUCUGAGCAAAAAUUCAAAAUGAAUCAAAACUUUCAACAACGGAUCUCUUGGUUCUG
rnacentral:misc_RNA from 1 species